GGAGGUAGUGACAAUAAAUCACAAUGCGGGACUAUCAGUCUUGCAAUUGGAUUGAGAACAAUGUACAACUCUUAUCGAUAAGCCAUUGGAGGGCAAGUCUGGUGCCAGCAGCCGCGGUAAUUCCAGCUCCAAUAGCGUAUAUUAACGUUGUUGCAGUUAAAAAGCUCGUAGUUGAAGUGUGGGUGAUCGCUGUUGUGAGACUUCGGUCUCUCGACAGUAAGUCACCCCCUUCCAGUAUCCAGUAGUGGGUAUUCAGUUACUUACUAUUGUGUGUUGGUCCUUUACUGUGAGAAAAUUAGAGUGUUCAAAGCAGGCGUUUGCUUGAAUAGAUUAGCAUGGAAUAAUAAUUGAAGGCUUUCGUGUUCGAUUUGAUUGGUUUGUUCAUGGAAGCAAGGUUAAAAGGAACAC
rnacentral:rRNA from 1 species